rnacentral:misc_RNA from 1 species
UCAUGAAAACAUCAUCCCGUCGGGUUUCCGAGACGAUGGACGUGGGUGUUGCCGUCCGGCUCGCCUCAAAGGCUCAGUGGUCCCGAUAUCGAAUCCGGCGUAAUAAGUUUCGCUGGCCCAGGUCGACGGUCCGCUCACAACCCGUCUUCUGACAUUUUUGCUCUGACCUCAAAUCAGGUAGGACUACCCGCUGAACUUAA